CAGUCGCCGCGGUAAUACAGAGGGUGCGAGCGUUAAUCGGAUUUACUGGGCGUAAAGCGUGCGUAGGCGGCUUCUUAAGUCGAAUGUGAAAUUCCUGAGCUUAACUUAGGAAUUGCAUUCGAUACUGGGAAGCUAGAGUAUGGGAGAGGAUGGUAGAAUUCCAGGCGUAGCGGUGAAAUGCGUAGAGAUCUGGAGGAAUACCGAUGGCGAAGGCAGCCAUCUGGCCUAAUACUGACGCUGAGGUACGAAAGCAUGGGGAGCAAACAGGAUUAGAUACCCGAGUAGUCCCUGUCUCUUAUAC
rnacentral:rRNA from 1 species